rnacentral:tRNA from 1 species
GCCGGGGUGGUGGAAUUGGCAGACACAUACGUUUGAGGGGCGUAGACCGAAAGGUGUGCGGGUUCAACUCCCGCCCCCGGCA